CUAUAAUAUCCAUUAAACUACAUCCUGAAGUUGACUCUUCUUUUCCUUCAAGAUGAAAAAAAUGGACAAGAACAAGUUCUAUGUUGGUGCAUGUCCAACCAUGGAAUGUGGCUGAGCGUCAUUGAAGCCUGUCACACAGUAGGGUGACGAAAUGUUUCUUUUGGAUGCUAAAAAGGGGUGGCCGACAGUGUAAACGCACGCUCCGCUGGUAAGGGCGGGAGGCGUUAUCCCAACAGCGGGCAUCAUCCUGAUCCGGCGAGGAACUCCGAGUGGACCUGUUUACAAUUUUCAAUUUCGAUAUAGAGGUAUUAGAUGUAGACUUUUACAUAAACUUACAUAAGGACAGAAAUCUGUUGUAGCCAUCAGCUUGUGGGGAAGGCUCUAAUAGACGCUUAGCCAAAUUUAAGGUUGUUAACCCUUUGAGUGCCAAACACAUUGAGUGGGUAGCGCUGCCAGCGCAAGCACUCUUUUAUUGUAUGUAUACUAUUCUGAUAAAUAAUUCAUAAUCUAAAUAAUAAAUAUAAUAAGAUGAUUUCUUUUAUUAUGUAGGGGAGAAAGUAGGAUGUAACUAAUAAUAGUUGUUUAAAUUAUAAAACAUGUUUAGUUUUAAAUAAAUAAUAAUACAAACAAUAAUUAAAUUGGAAUUCUAAACUGUGAUUUUAUGAUCCUAAUUUAUUUGUAUGCAAUUUUUUAUUUUUCCUCA